rnacentral:rRNA from 1 species
AGAGUUUGAUCCUGGCUCAGAUUGAACGCUGGCGGCAUGCUUUACACAUGCAAGUCGAACGGGAGUGGAGGGGCGACUCUCCAUUUCAGUGGCGGACGGGUGAGUAAUGCAUCGGAACGUAUCCCGUAGUGGGGGACAACCCAGCGAAAGCUGGGCUAAUACCGCAUACGCUCUACGGAGGAAAGCGGGGGACCCUGAGAGGGGCCUCGUGCUAGGGGGGCGGCCGAUGUCCGAUUAGCUAGUUGGUGGGGUAAUGGCCCACCAAGGCGACGAUCGGUAGCUGGUCUGAGAGGAUGAUCAGCCACACUGGGACUGAGACACGGCCCAGACUCCUACGGGAGGCAGCAGUGGGGAAUUUUGGACAAUGGGCGCAAGCCUGAUCCAGCCAUGCCGCGUGCGGGAAGAAGGCCUUCGGGUUGUAAACCGCUUUUGUCCGGGAAGAAAGGGCCCAUCCGAAUACGGUGGGUUGUGCCGGUACCGGAGAAUAAGCACCGGCUAACUACGUGCCAGCAGCCGCGGUA